UAUCCCUCAAUAUCGUUCGUUUGAGUGCACUCGUUUCGCAUAGAGAAAAAAGGAGGUUUUGCAUCUUGAGGUUUGUUUACCCUGUGACGUAGGUCGUCACAACCUGGCCAGCGAAAUCUGGAAUUCGAAGUUUGAAAAACGAACCAUAAUGUCCAAUUUUUUUGCUUCAAUCAACUCAUGAAAUAAUUUUAAGCACUUUUCAUAGAAUGACUUUUUUCCAUAAAUUACCCCAUUUCCGAGAAAAUUGAUGAUAAAAGUCGCUGUGACGACCUACGUCAUCAAAAAAUCCAAGAUGCCCGAAAUGCAAACACCUCCUUUUCUUUCUCUAUGCUCGUUUCGGCUGGUUUCGGCCUCCACUCCAUGGCUGCCGGUCAGCUAUGCGGUCAGCUGAUUAUCGAGUUGUCGUAACUCUGUGUAUAAAGGGACUCUAAAGUAAACAACCGUCAACUUAGCUGAACUUAGCUGAACUUAGCUGACGACACCUUUUUUUGUUCUAUUGCCGUUAGCUUUAGUAUUCUAUGCCCUGACCCCCUGACCUGGACCUGACACCAGAGACUAUACAUAGAAUAAUAUUAUCUAUGACUAUUAUGCCUGACAUCCUUGCUGACAUCCAGUGCUGUCUGCUUUGAUCAUGGUUGUAUCCAAACCAAUGCAUUGCAUUCAGGAUGUGUGUCAGAAGUUACUGAUUUCUUACUUUGAAAAUCUGCACACUCAUCCGUAUCGGACAAAAGCGUUCACCAGUCUAAUCAUAGCCCUGCUUGGUAAUUACUUGUCUCAGCGCAUAACCAGUGGAAAGCAGAUUGAUCAUAAUAGUCUCAUUGCCUAUGGAUUUUUGGGUAUGUUGCACUAGUCUGUAGAUUUAGCAUCUGGAUCAUGAAUUUUUUCCCCCUAAAUUUUGUUUGUGGUACCCACAACCCCUCCUCAAGUAUUGGCGUUGCAGGCAGCCAUGUGGAAAUCAUUUCUCAUUGGCUCCCAUUUUAGGCUUCAUGGAUGUCACUAACGGGUAGAAUAAUUACACUUUCAUCAGUUGCAACAAUUAUGAACUAGAAUGGACAAGGGAACAAGGGGCUUGCCUGGGAACGAACAGAAUGAGGGAUAGAAUUUUGGAAAAGAAGCUAAGAAGGAGUUAUUCAAAAAUUCAGAUAAACACCAUGAACUGUGUGGCUCUUCU
rnacentral:lncRNA from 1 species